AUUUGUGAAAAUGUUGAGCCAUCAGAACUUGAGGAAGCUUCCUUGAAAAGUAGUUUAAUUCAGCAGAUUGUUGUUAUUGGCCAGGACCAACGUCGUCUUGGAGCUAUAAUUGUUCCAAACAAAGAAGAGAUUUUAGUGACCGCAAAGAAGUUGUUGAUUGUAGGGGCGGAUGCCUCUGAACUUAGUGAG